UACGGGAGGCAGCAGUGGAGAAUAUUGCACAAUGGGCGAAAGCCUGAUGCAGCAACGCCGCGUGAGGGAAGACGGUUUUCGGAUUGUAAACCUCUGUCCUGUGUGAAGAUAGUGACGGUAGCACAGGAGGAAGCCACGGCUAACUACGUGCCAGCAGCCGCGGUAAU
rnacentral:rRNA from 1 species